GGACUACCCGGGUUUCUAAUCCCGUUCGCUCCCCUGGCUUUCGCACAUGAGCGUCAGUCACUUGCCAGGACGCUGCCUUCGCCUUUGGUGUUCUUCCAGAUCUCUACGCAUUUCACCGCUCCACCUGGAAUUCCGCGUCCCUCUCAAGUCCUCAAGUCUUCCCGUUUUUCAAGCACUGCGGCAGUUGAGCCGCCACCUGUCACUCAAAACGUAGAAGACCGCCUGCGUGCGCUUUACGCCCAAUAAAUCCGGACAACGCUCGCCCCCUACGUAUUACCGCGGCUGCUGGCAC
rnacentral:rRNA from 1 species